UACGGGGGGGGCAAGCGUUGUUCGGAAUUACUGGGCGUAAAGGGCUCGUAGGUGGCCAACUAAGUCAGACGUGAAAUCCCUCGGCUUAACCGGGGAACUGCGUCUGAUACUGGAUGGCUUGAGUUCGGGAGAGGGAUGCGGAAUUCCAGGUGUAGCGGUGAAAUGCGUAGAUAUCUGGAGGAACACCGGUGGCGAAGGCGGCAUCCUGGACCGACACUGACGCUGAGGGGCGAAAGCCAGGGGAGCAAACGGG
rnacentral:rRNA from 1 species